GAUGAACGCUAGCGACAGGCCUAACACAUGCAAGUCGAGGGGCAUCACAUGAGUAGCAAUACGAUGGUGGCGACCGGCGCACGGGUGAGUAACACGUAUGCAACCUGCCUGUAAGAGGGGAAUAACCCGUUGAAAGACGGACUAAUACCGCAUAAUACCUUAUAACUGCAUGGUAAUAAGGUUAAACAUUUAUGGCUUACAGAUGGGCAUGCGUAUGAUUAGCUAGUUGGUGAGGUAACGGCUCACCAAGGCAACGAUCAUUAGGGGUUCUGAGAGGAAGGUCCCCCACACUGGUACUGAGACACGGACCAGACUCCUACGGGAGGCAGCAGUGAGGAAUAUUGGUCAAUGGGCGAGAGCCUGAACCAGCCAAGUCGCGUGAAGGAUGAAGGUUUUAUGAAUUGUAAACUUCUUUUGCAGGGGAAUAAAGUGCACCACGUGUGGUGUUUUGUAUGUACUCUGCGAAUAAGGAUCGGCUAACUCCGUGCC
rnacentral:rRNA from 1 species